CCCCAGGAUUGGCGCUUUCUAACACGCCCCUGCCUCUCCUUACUAAGGACUCUUUCCUGUGGACUCUACAACACAGAAAUAGUCAGGGCUGCACUAUGGGUUCAGGGUUUAGAACCACAACUGGGCCCUAUUUAUAGCACACCACACCAGAGAGGAGAUGUUAGCGCACUGGUCCGCGUUGUGGGGGUGGCUCACCCUGGAGGCAGCUGCACUUGAUGUGCAGACCUCCUUGGGGCACAAGUGAGCCCUCAGGUGUGGAGUACAGGGACAGGGUCAGCUGGAGAAAAAGGCUCCUGCAUUGGGCAAGCCUUCGGUAAUUAAGCUGCUGGUGUGAUUCUGACUGUGAGUCAAGGAGCCAUGCCUGAGGGAAAAGAGCCAAGACGCAUGUUGGCACAAGUGGGUGGGGUCAGGACUGGGUACCCACAGAUUCCCUUACAAAGGGUCCUGUUCUGUUUGGCCUGGGACCAGUUUUAAAAUAUGUGUUGGCUGUGUAAGGUGUCAUGUGCCUUUAAUCCCAGAACCAAGCCAGCCGAGACAGGUAGAUCUCUCUGAAUUUGAAGCUAGCCUGGUCUACAUAGGGAGGAGCUUCAAGACACCCAGAGCCACACAACCAGACUCUGUCUCAAAAGACAAACAAGCGGGCUGGAGAGAUGGCUCAGCGGUUAAGAGCACUGACUGCUCUUCCAGAGGUCCUGAGUUCAAUUCCCAACAACCACAUGGUGGCUCACAACUCAUCUGUCAUGAGAUCUGAUGCCCUCUUCUGGUGUGUCUGAAAACAGUUACAGCAUACUCACUUAAAAUAAGUCUUUAAAAAAAAAAAAAAAA
rnacentral:lncRNA from 1 species